rnacentral:rRNA from 1 species
UUCGCAAUGCCCGAAAGGGUGACGAUGCGACGCCGCGUGAGCGAAGAAGGCCCUAGGGUUGUAAAGCUCUGUCAGGGGUUAAGAAAUGUAGAUAGGUUAAUACCCUGUUUAUUUGACAAAAGCCCCAAAGGAAGCCACGGCUAACUCUGUGCCAGCAGCCGCGGUAAUACAGAGGUGGCAAGCGUUGUUCGGUAUUAUUGGGCGUAAAGAGCACGUAGGUGGUUUUGUAAGUCAGAUGUGAAAGCCUUCUGUUCAAAGGAAGAACGGCAUCUGAGACUGCGGAUCUUGAGUGUAGGAGGGGAGAGUGGAACUUCUGGUGGAGCGGUGAAAUGCGUAGACAUCAGAAGGAACGUCGGCGGCGAAAGCGACUCUCUGGCCUAUUACUGACACUGAGUGUGCGAAAGUUAGGGGAGCAAACGGGAUUAGAUACCCCGGUAGUCCUAACUGUAAACGAUGGGCACUAAGUAGAGGGGUUUU